rnacentral:rRNA from 1 species
UUCUUUUUGUUUACAAAAAAGGUAAGACCGGCCCACUGUUGGUAUGAUAAAGGGCCGCGGUAUUAUGACCGUGCUAAGGUAGCAUAAUCAUUAGUCACUUAAUUAGGGAAUGGUAUGAAUGGUUUUUCUUUGAGGUUUUUCAUUAUUUUGUAGUUUUGAAAUUUAAUUAAAAGUGAAAAUGCUAUGUUAAGGCUAAAUGACGAUAAGACCCUAUAGAGCUUUAUUUUUUAUAAAAAAAUUUUUAGGGUUUUUAUUCGUUUAUUACAAAAGUUUAAUUGGGGCAAUUUUAGAAUAAUAAAAAUUUCUAUUCACUAAGUAAUAUCUUAACAAUUUAAAAUAAUUAAAAAAGUUACCUUAGGGAUAACAGCGUUAUAAUUUUUAAGAGACCCAAUCGACAGAAAUGUUUGCGACCUCUAUGUUGAAUUAAAAAUUCUAUUAAGGGCAGGUUCUUAAUGAGAUAGUCUGUUCGACUGAUAAAAUUUU